rnacentral:rRNA from 1 species
GACGAACGCUGGCGGCGUGCUUAACACAUGCAAGUCGAACGAAGUGGCGAACGGGUGAGUAACGCGUAAGCAACCGGCCCUUCAGAGGGGGACAACAGUUGGAAACGACUGCUAAUACCGCAUACUGAAGGAGGGGAUGGCGUCUGAUUAGCUAGUUGGGGGGGUAACGGCCAACCAAGGCGAUGAUCAGUAGCCGGUCUGAGAGGAUGGACGGCCACAUUGGGACUGCGACACGGCCCAGACUCCUACGGGGGGCAGCAGUGGGGAAUCUUCCGCAAUGGACGGAAGGCUGACGGAGCAACGGCGCGUGAGUGAUGACGGCCUUCGGGUUGUAAAGCUCUGUUAAUCGGGACGCGGUACCGGAAUAGAAAGCCACGGCUAACUACGUGCCAGCAGCCGCGGUAAUAC